rnacentral:misc_RNA from 1 species
GAUGAAGAACGUAGCGAAAUGCGAUAAGUAAUGUGAAUUGCAGAAUUCAGUGAAUCAUCGAAUCUUUGAACGCACAUUGCGCCCUCCGGCAUUCCGGGGGGCAUGCCUGUCCGAGCGUCACGAAAACCCCAUCACACUCGUUGUGGUCAUGGCUGCAGUGAGUCGUCUCCAGCGGAGAGGGUCACGCCGCUGAAAGGAAUGGUGCGGAUGAGUUCCGAUGGCCGAACGUAGUACUUGACAACCGUCGGCCGAUGGGACCCUCCAUCUCGCCCUGACGACGUACCCCCGUCGUACCCCCGAUCAGGUGGACCUCGGAUCAGGUAGGGAUACCCGCUGAACUUAAGCAUAUCAAUAAGCGAGGA